GACGAACGCUGGCGGCGUGCUUUAGGCAUGCAGGUCGAACGCGAAAGCCCCUUCGGGGGUGAGUAGAGUGGCGAACGGGUGAGUAACACGUGGGUAACUUGCCCCUCGCCGGGGGAUAACCGGGGGCAACCCCGGCUAAUACCCCGUACGCUUGCUGGGGCGCCUGCUCCGGCAUGGACGGGUAGCUUCGGCCAUCCGGCGAGGGAGGGGCCGGCGGCCCCUUGGCUAGUUGGUGGGGUAGCGGGCCACCAGGGCGGCGAUGGGGAGCUGGCGUGCUGGGGUGGUCGGCCACACUGGGGCUACGGCGCGGCCCAGACGCCUACGGGAGGCAGCAGCCGUGGGGCGUGCGCAAUGGUCGGAAGCCUCACGCAGCAACGCCGCCGGGGCGGUGAAGGCCGUCUGGGCGUAGAGCCCUUUUGUCUGGGACGGAGAGCGAAGUGUUAAUUGCCCCUGGCCUGACGGUACCCGACGAGGAAGCCCCGGCUAACUACGUG
rnacentral:rRNA from 1 species